CAGUCGCCACGGGAAUACGAAGGGGGCUAGCGUUGCUCGGAAUGACUGGGCGUAAAGGGCGCGUAGGCGGCGAUCAAAGUCAGGCGUGAAAUUCCUGGGCUCAACCUGGGGGCUGCGUUUGAUACUUGGUUGCUAGAGUGAGGAAGAGGGUCGUGGAAUUCCCAGUGUAGAGGUGAAAUUCGUAGAUAUUGGGAAGAACACCGGUGGCGAAGGCGGCGACCUGGUCCUUGACUGACGCUGAGGCGCGAAAGCGUGGGGAGCAAACAGGAUUAGAGACCCCCGUAGUCCCUGUCUCUUAUAC
rnacentral:rRNA from 1 species